UUGAUCACUAAUUUAUUGCAAAAUUCACCGGGAAAACGAUGAUCUUUUUUCAAAAAGCACGGAUUGGAUGAUUUGGUCCAAAUGGGACCAAAUUGUAAGAAGGUGACUUGGCAAAACAAUUACACACACCACUCGAUCUGAAAACAAAAACACAAUCAAACCCCCUCCCUUGGUCGUGUAUAAUUGCACAGCCUCGUCGCCUGCAAGAGGCGGCGCCGGCGGGAUGGAG
rnacentral:lncRNA from 1 species